UCAUCUAUUUCUUUUAGUUGGAAGAGUUUGUAAGGAUCAAAUUUCAUUUAUUUCUUUAGGUUGGGAAACUUUGUUGUGAAAGAUUUUUAAAUUUUGUAUGCUGUUUGUCAACAUGUUUCACUUUUUUAAAAACCUUUCAAGAAACCUUUACUGUUUACCUAUGGCAUUGGGUGCCUCCUUGUCACUAUGGGAUACUAACAAAACAUUGGUUUUGCUGUCUGAGAUGUGUAAUUUGUUAACUCUG